CUGGUAUGGAUUUCAACUUGAAAUUUGCCUUUGGCAUUCCAUUAUUGUGAAACAUUGACAAAUUUCAUACGGAGAAAGUUCUAGAUCCUUCUGUUUUAGAAUGUGAGGAGGACACAGCCAUAGCAUUUAUCCAGCCUACAAACUAAGGGGCGUUUGAUGAAAACAAUUAAAACUGUAUUGCGGAUCCAAUAUACAUACUGCUGUAUAAUGAAAUUGCUGUGUCUCUCCUUUAGCCUUCACAGAUCAGAAGCAGUCCAGACUCCCAGGAGCCUGCAUACCACAGCUGAAGAGACACAGGGCUGA
rnacentral:lncRNA from 1 species